CUUAAAUUUCGAAAAAUAUGACUUUGAUAAUAAAUAUCAACCAACGGAUGCAGGUCCGUAUCAGGUAUUUUUGGAACAUACCGAUAAGAAUCUUGGUCGUCUUUUUCCUAUCAGAAUUGGCUUUUAUUUACAACAAGUAAUUGAAUUUAGAAAUGAUGUUAUUGAUAUUCAUUCUGUAGGUUUAAAACGUGUUAAGGUAAUUUUUAGAACAUACAAAAUCGCUAAUUUAUUAAUUAAUCACGAAAUACUAACAAAAAA
rnacentral:lncRNA from 1 species